rnacentral:ncRNA from 1 species
UUAUGGUUUUAGCGUCACUGCAAAAUCAGUGACCGGGUGUGGAAACCCGAUAA